rnacentral:rRNA from 1 species
AAAGUGCAACAGAGAGUAUGGCUUGGCUUGCUUGGAACCAGCAACCAGCAGGUGAGAAAAGAGUGCCACUACUGCACAGAUAAGGGGCAUAUGCGCUCUUUUAAAAUGGAGGCUUGUGGCCAAACCUACUUCCAGGAGCAAGAUAGGCUCAACACGUGUGUGGCCUUCCAGUCAGUUGGAUCGUCUACAUUUAUUUAUUUUAUUGAAUUUGUGGUCUCUCUCUCUCUGCUAGAGCCUAGAGGUUCUAAAUUUGGUCUAAAGCAGCAUAAAGUGGUCUAAAGUCUCAAGAUCACGCACAAAUGUUUUUUUUUGCAUUUGCUGUUGCACUAUUAUCUCAAGCAUUUUUUUUCAAUUGUUACCUUGCAAUUUACUUCCUUCUGCAGGCUCGAAUUUUGUAAAGCCACCAUGAGUGUCUUUUCCUUAAUAAACUAUAGGAUCUUGUUGCGAUUAUCUUAGUAUACACUAGUUGGAGACAUCGUUUGGAGGAUCCAUGAUUAAUUUCAAUGAGACAUGCUAGAAAAAAAGCAGAAUCUUUUAAGAAAAACAUAAAAAUAUCAUACAUUUAAUUCGGUGGACUUUGACUAUCAUUAGUAAUGAUGUCUAUUGAAUCUUUUUUACCUUCACAAAUUACUCACCAUUGUUAUCACAAGAAAAUAACAAGUCAUCCCUAAAUUCUACAUAUAAAUCAUCCACCCAUGCUAUUACUAAAAGUAACAUAUAAAGUAACUCCUGACCUUACACCUAUGUCAUCAUUAUAUAUUACUUAUGGUGUGUUUGGUUUGAGAAACGAGGUGGUACAUCAUUACUCAUUCCUGACAUUUUUUUUGUUUGGUUUGUGGAAUAGAAUAGGUUGAUCUCCCAGAAGCUAAUAAUUAUAUUAGUAUGAGGAAUGGAGUCAUCCCACUAAAUUUGAGGAAUGAACUCAGGAUUCACCACUUCAUCUGGAAUGGAGUGGCUCCUCAAACCAAACACCCUAAGGUAACACCUAAAUCUGCCUCUCUUUGACUCAUCAUUGUCAUUAUAAAAAAAAUACCCCGAAAGUGCACUAACUCAAUGUACAAAUGCACGAUGCAUGCAUUGUCAUGACCUGAUCGUGGUAUGGUCAUUUUUAUAAUCAUCGUGAGCAUCAUAUGCAUUGCAAUUUCAAUUUAGAAAAUUGCAUUUGCAUAAAACUAUACUUUCUGGGCUUUGCAGUGUUCCCUCGGACUAUCUAGUGCACACCCAGAGCGUCUAUGAGAGCAUCUACGCAGACUUAGCAAUUUUCACCAAGUUAGUGUUCCCACAGACAUCAUUUGGAGGAUCCAUGAUUAAUUUCAAUGAGACACACUAGAAAAAAAUUGUAGAAUCUUUUAAGAAAAUAUAAAAAUAUCAUACAUUUAAUUCGGUGGACUUUAACUAUCAUUGCUAAUAAUAUCUACUGAAUCUUUUUUAUCUUCACAAAUUACUCGCCUUUGUUAUCACAAGAAAAUAACAAGUAUGGCAAUAACAGUUUAGAUAACUUUUAUUAUCACUAAAAUAAAACAAUAUUUCUAAUUUACAUUUAUCUUCCCAUGCAUAUAGAAAACAUGAAUAUGUAUAUGUGCAUGAUGCAUGAUACCAUAUAGACCGCUUAUAUGGUAUUUUUACAUUCAGAAUGUCAAAGUGAAGAAAUUGCUUUUUCUGCCCAGUGCUCUGAAUGUCAAAGUGAAGAAAUUCAACCAAGCGUGGGUAAACGGCGGGAGUAACUAUGACUCUCUUAAGGUAGCCAAAUGCUUCGUCAUCUAAUUAGUGACGCGCAUGAACGGAUUAACAAGAUUCCCACUGUCCCUAUCUACUAUCCAGCGAAACCACGGCCAAGGGAACGGGCUUGAUGGAAUCAGCGGGGAAAGAAGACCCUGUUUAGCUUGACUCUAGUCCGACUUUGUGAAAUGACUUGAGAGGUGUAGGAUAAGUGGGAGCCCUCGGGUGCAAGUGAAAUACCACUACUUUUAACGUUAUUUUACUUAUUCCGUGGGUCGGAAGCGGGGCAUCACCCCUCCUUUUGGCUCUAAGGCCCGGCCUCGCCGGGCCGAUCCGGGCGGAAGACAUUGUCAGGUGGCAGUUUGGCUGGGGCGGCACAUCUGUUAAAAGAUAACUCAGGUGUCCUGAGAUGAGCUCAACGAGAACAGAAAUCUCGUGUGGAACAAAUGGGUAAAAGCUCGUUUGAUUCUGAUUUCCAGUACGAAUACGAACCGUGAAAGCGUGGCCUAUCGAUCCUUUAGACCUUCGGAGUUUGAAGCUAGAGGUGUCAGAAAAGUUACCACAGGGAUAACUGGCUUGUGGCAGCCAAGCGUUCAUAGCGACGUUGCUUUUUGAUCCUUCAAUGUCGGCUCUUCCUAUCAUUGCGAAGCAGAAUUCACCAAGUGUUGGAUUGUUCACCCACCAAUAGGGAACGUGAGCUGGGUUUAGACCAUCGUGAGACAUGUUAGUUUUACCCUACUGAUGACCGUGUCGCGAUAGUAAUUCAACCUAGUAUGAGAGGAACCGUUGAUUCACACAAUUGGUCAUCGCGUUUGGUUGAAAAGCCAGUGGCGCGAAGCUACCGUGUGUCGGAUUAUGACUGAACACCUCUAAGUCAGAAUCCAAGCUAGCAACCGGCGCAUGUGCCCGCCGCUCGCCCCGACCCACAUUAGGGCGUUCGUGCCCCAAGGGCCCGUGCCACUGGCUCAGCCUGCCCGGCCGACGCGCCGCGGCGGGCCGCCUCGAAGCUCCCUUCCCAACGGGCGGCAGGCUGAAUCCUUUGUAGACGACUUAAAACGCGACGGGGCAUUGUAAGUGGCAGAGUGGCCUUGCUGCCACGAUCCACUGAGAUCCAGCCCUACGUCGCACGGAUUCGUCCCUC